GUUCCGCCCCUGCCAUCCACCCAGGGAAGCCCCGGGUGCCCAGAUGUGACGCCACUGACUUGCGCACUGGGGGACAGAGACAUGUGAGGUUUCCAUUCUUAGCGGCGGCCUGAGUUUGGAGGAGAGAGGCGGGCCCAGGCUCUGUGAGGAGGCAAGAGACUGGGUCUCCUCUGUGGCCCAGGCUGGAGUGCAAGGGUGUCGUCAUAGUUCACUGCAGCCUCAACCUCCUGGGCUCAAGCAGUCCUCCCACCUCAGCCUCCCGAGUAGCUGGGACUAUAGGCACGCACCACCAAGCCCAGGGUGACCAGUAUGGAGCUGUGCACCCCAGGAAGCCCGAGGAGCUCUCCCACAUGCAGAGGCUGGGUGUCCGCACCGUGUCACGUGCAAGGGCACGAACUUAGAACCCAGAGCUGCGUGGAGGUCAUCCCGGUGAUUGCUGGCUACCAUCGGUCACGAGGAUCGCUGCAGGCACCGGUCACUGGCUGCCACCUGCACCUCUCUACCGUGGCUUUAAACUUUUGCCCCCCAACACCAAAUCUGUGACUCUUAUCCUGACAACAAGGGUCUGUACGACGACGGGCAAGGAAAAUUCCACUCCGAAAUGACAGCAUGAAAUGAAUGCAAGUGAACGUUUAGUAAGUGGGGAAAUCUUACCCAGUGU